AAUACACCCAAGCCCUGUCUUUUCUUAUUCCCCACCUUCAACCCAGGAGCUCUAGAAGCAACCUAGACCAAGUUGAAGAUUGGGAGGCAUUGGACCUGAGCCAUGGAGAGGAUGUGCGGGAGGAGAAUGACCAUCAACCAGAUCAGCAUUCUCAACCUGGUUCUUCAACCAACAGGCCCUACAGCAGACCUGCUGCACGAAAGAGGGCCUCAGCACCUUUGGAGUCUUUGGAGGAUAGGCGGCUAUGGUCCAGGAGCCUCCACAGCACAUGCACCAUCGUGUGCCACAGGAGGAGUAUGAGAUGUUACA